rnacentral:rRNA from 1 species
UACGGAGGGUGCAAGCGUUGUCCGGAAUCACUGGGCGUAAAGGGCGCGUAGGCGGCUCAUGAAGGCUGUGGUGGAAGUCCGGGGCUCAACCUCGGAUCGGCCGUGGCGACUCGUGGGCUGGAGCACUGUAGAGGCGGGUGGAAUUCCGGGUGUAGCGGUGGAAUGCGUAGAGAUCCGGAAGAACACCGGUGGCGAAGGCGGCCUGCUGGGCAGUAGCUGACACUGAGGCGCGACAGCGUGGGGAGCAAACAGG